AAUAAAAAAUAAAAAAAAUCAGUAAGAUGAGAGAAAAAAUUUAAAAAUAUUAAGUGAACUAAAUAAACAGAGAUACGGGUGGGUUUUUUUUUUUAAUAUUUUGGUUCUAGUGUUUUAUGUAUUCUGCUCUGGCUGACUUCCAGUAGCUAGGGUUUGGGGGUUUUUUUUCCCUUUUGGGGAGUUCCAAGUCGCCUCCAGUGAUUAUUCCAGUUAGGUCGACUUCUUGUUGUGGAGAAGACAUUUCCACAGUGGUCGCUUUAUUUUCUUAAUCUGUAGUUAUUUUCGCUGUUAUUUUUGGACCAUUUUCCGUAGUUUUGGAGGAGCGCUGUUCCACAGAGCGCGACUGCCGGAGGACUGAUGGGCACUUCUGGGCCUUACGGCGGCUGUGGCGUGCGUAGAGCCUUUUCCGGACCGCUAACGGGCGCUCCCGCUGCCGCGCGCCCAUCGGACGAGCGGGGCCGGUGGCUGGCGCGUGCGCGUCGGCCGUCGCUCCGGGACAGUAGGAGUGUCCGUUGGCCGCCGAGAAGCCGCUCCCUGUGGCGGGGAGCCCCGGAGGGGCCGGUUAGUCCUCCGAGCGCGGGUCUCUAGGACACAGCGCCCGUUUUUCUCUCGACGGCGUUUCUCCGCGCCUCGGGACCUCUCGCGCAGGUGCCAGCGGUGACGGCCGCCGUUGUCAGGGGCUGCGUCCGUUUCGCCGCGUUUGCGGCUGGCUGCGGCUGCUGACGGAGCGCGGGUACCGUGGCGGUGCUGCCGCCGUCUCGGUUCUGCGUCCGGGUUGUUUGCCUUUGGGCCCAGGGUACUACUCCCGAUUAGUGUUCUAUUAUUUAUAUUCUGCUAUUUUUAAUUUUAUUAUCUAAAUUGGGAGUAAUCACUGAAUGUAAAGUUUUAAAAAAGCAACUCCUCCAAGCAAGUAACUUGGCCUUCAGCCAUCACCUGCUCUCCUCCAGCACUGCAACGCAUUUUUUUCUGUGAACCCCAAAUUCCUGGGGGAAUGAACACAUGCAGCAUACAUACCAUGAUAUCAAACCACUGGCCGCACGGCUCAGCCACCACCAUCAGCUGCACCCAGCCAUCACUGCUAUGCCAACAGCACUGACGCUGCGCCAUCUGCCCGAGUGCAUGUGACCCUAUUGACUGCUGGCUCUGCCAAUGGCGUGUCCAACAAAACCCGUGACGCUGCUGAGACAGCAGCAACGUGACAGAAAUGAAUGCGAGCUGUGGCAAGGACAAACACAUCACAGCAGGUACAAUACUGACGUUAAAACACUGUGACAGCUCAUCUUUAUUUCACAGGUGGAACAUGCACGUGUGCACACACACACAAUGCAAAGAAUUUUAUUCUACACAAGACACGUAGCCCUCCUUAGCAUGUGUACAUCUCUCUCUUCGUGGCAAGAUGAACUCCAUAAUUUGGAUUCCUAGGUGGAAAACGAGUGAGAUCUGCAUGUUGCAGUAGGGCCUCAUCUUCCAGACCUUGUAUUUAAUAGCUAGGAAUGUACGUUUAAAUAAAGUGACUGAUCAUAUCUGAA